rnacentral:rRNA from 1 species
AUUGAACGCUGGCGGAAUGCUUUACACAUGCAAGUCGAACGGCAGCACGGACUUCGGUCUGGUGGCGAGUGGCGAACGGGUGAGUAAUGUAUCGGAACGUGCCCAGUCGUGGGGGAUAACGUAGUGAAAAUUACGCUAAUACCGCAUACGAUCUAUGGAUGAAAGCGGGGGAUAGCAAGACCUCGCGCGAUUGGAGCGGACGAUAUCAGAUUAGGUAGUUGGUGGGGUAAAGGCCCACCAAGCCAACGAUCUGUAGCUGGUCUGAGAGGACGACCAGCCACACUGGAACUGAGACACGGUCCAGACUCCUACGGGAGGCAGCAGUGGGGAAUUUUGGACAAUGGGCGAAAGCCUGAUCCAGCCAUUCCGCGUGCAGGAUGAAGGCCCUCGGGUUGUAAACUGCUUUUGUACAGAACGAAAAGGUUUCUACUAAUACUAGGAGCUCAUGACGGUACUGUAAGAAUAAGCACCGGCUAACUACGUGCCAGCAGCCGCAGUAA